GCUGGGCGUGGUGGUGCGUGCCUGUAAUCCCAGCUACUCAGGAGGCUGAGGCAGGAGAAUCGCUUGAACCCGGGAGGCAGAGAUUGCAGUGAGCUGAAAUCACACAACUGAACUCCAGCCUGGGUGACAGAGCGAGACUCCGUCUCAAAAAAAAAAAAAAAAUUAUCUUGGGCUACACAUAAGGCUGAAGUGCAAUGGUGCGAUCUUGGCUCACUGCAACCUCCGCCUCCCAGGUUCAAGCAAUUCUCCUGCCUCA
rnacentral:sRNA from 1 species